rnacentral:rRNA from 1 species
UGGGCGGGACGGGUGAGUAAUGUCUGGGAAACUGCCUGAGGGAGGGGGAUAACUACUGGAAACGGUAGCUAAUACCGCAUAACGUCGCAAGACCAAAGAGGGGGACCUUCGGGCCUCUUGCCAUCGGAUGUGCCCAGAUGGGAUUAGCUAGUAGGUGGGGUAACGGCUCACCUAGGCGACGAUCCCUAGCUGGUCUGAGAGGAUGACCAGCCACACUGGAACUGAGACACGGUCCAG